rnacentral:ncRNA from 16 species
GUGUACAAACGAAAAAGAGGUACCAGUAAUGGUUUAAAAGGGAAUUCGGUACAUGCCGAAGCUGUCCCCGCAACUGUAAGUGUAAACGACUGUACAAAGUCCACUGUGCAUCAGCAUGGGAAGGGUACGGAAGGAUAAUGCACGAGCCAGGAGACCUGCCUUUUUUUUCGAUGAAGCA